AGAGAAAGCAAAAGGGAAUAAAAACUCUGCAAGACAACGUUUUGUGUUCCUUUCAGGAAAUGUCAACGCCAUGGAGGAAAGGAAAGGCAACAUCUUUCCAUCCGCAGGUGCUGGAGACGCGUCUGUAACCUGGGAAUCCAGAACCGAAUCCGAGAGGCGUUUUCCCAUCAGCCUGGCACUGCGGCUCCGGUGGAGCUGGCAGCGCUGCACACUCAGAAUGAGACUGGACUUGCCCCGGGGGACUCGGGGACCGUGCUGGGCUGGUGAUGGAGUGCACUGAACCAUCUGUCACCUCCCUCUGUGGCACUGAGAAGAAAGAGGGGACCUGGCUGAGGAGCCUCUACCACCAGUGAGGCCUGCUAGGCCAUGUGACCUUGGCCAAGUCUUUGGCUCCGUGAUGUCCAUUCUCCUUCUCUGCCCUCUUGCCUCUGAGUUUCCACAGGACGGGGCAGGUGGGAAGGACUUGGUGCCCAGUCAAGCUCCAGGGAGGCGAAACAUUCCCUAAUCAUCAGGCUCAAGGUUUUAGGAAGGUGGCGCAGGCUGUUGCCAUGCAACUAGGGAUAAAAACAACAACAAAAAUUUGUUUUAAUCAUGAACAUUCCUGAAAUGGAUACAGUGCAACCCACUGACUGUCUCUGCAGCAUCCCGGUCCCCACUGCCUUUUAAAACAUUCCGCCAUUACUGUGGCCAAGAGGAAAAGAGGAAUCUUUAGCUAAGCUAUAGUAGAGGUGUUCUGGGGGAAAUAAGCAAAUGAAAAUGUUAUUACCAGGACACUCAACCUAAAUCAAUUUUAAUGAUCGUUCCUAUUAGAGGUUGUGAUUUCUAAGUUCGUAUUCGUGGCCCACCCACCACACACACACACACACACACACACACACACACACUUCCUUCUUUCCUUCCCUCCCUUCCCUCCCUUCCCCUCCUAUUUUCUCUCUCCCUUCCCCUCUUCCUCCCUUUCUCUCUCUCUUUCUGAUUUGAUUUCAAGUGUCUUAUUAGUACUUAAAAAUUCUCUUGAACUUGGGUAAGUAAAAAUAUUUUUUAAAAGCAAAAAAAAUUUACAAAGGAUUCAUACAGGAAUCGGAUUAUGGACCUUUGUAUUUUCAUAUUUCUGCAGCUCAAUACAGGGAGCUCUUCUGGCUGUUGAUCAAAUAAAGCCUCAACCUGGGUCUGAAGGAGAUUUCAUAGUUCUGGCUCUGGUGUUUUGCUGUGUGGCCUCUGGAUAGUCACUUCCCCUCUCUGGAUCACAGCCACCUCAUUUAGAAAUUCAGGGAUUGGAUCAGGUGGUCUCUGAAGUGCCUUUCAGACUUAAAUUUCUUCCUAUAAAUGUUGUUCACAUGAAUAGAACCCAACAUCGGAACAAUUAAUAAAUAAAACCCACCCUCUCCAUGCCUUUUAACUUAUAAAGCAGACCAAUAAAGGUAAAACUGCUUAUAUUAUAAAAAUUUUUUUAAAUAGCUGCUUCAUUUUAGAAAUAAUUUGAUUUACGUAUAGCUUUUCAAAUUCUCAAAUACCAGUAAUUGAUAAAUUUCGUCUAGUUGGACAUUUCAGUGAUGGUUCUUUAUCCUUAGCAGCUGACCCUGCCACAUCCAUCAGACAAAUUCCCAAGAAACACUCCUGUAAUGCUCAGUUGAAAUCUCUAAUGGGCCUGAGCAAAUCAGACCUAAUGUUCACUCUGGUGAGCAGUCACUUUGAAAGCAUGUGUUGCUUUCUAAUUAUCAUUUUAUUUCUACCAUUAGCCACAUUGGAAAUAUAAAUCACAGCUAAUAUCCUUCAGAAAGAUGGCUAACCCCUCCCCCAAGAGUUGACCAUCUUCACAUACGAAAGGGGAGCCGGGGACAUGGUGGAAAGCAUCGGGGAUACAGAGUCAAGGAAUCAUAAGUGAUGUGACCUUGAAUAAGUCACUUCCCCUCUCUAGGUCUUGGGUUCCCCAAGUGUAAAUGGUCCAGGUCACUGGGAAGGAUCCUUUGGCCCUACUAGGGACUGAAUGCUUGUGUUCCUCAAAAUUCUCCUAAAUUGAGACCUAACCCCUAAGUGGUGGGAUUAGGAGGUGAGGUCUUCGUGAGAUAACUAGGUGUCUUACAUUUUCCUGUUGCUAUAACAAAAUACCCAAGACUGGGUAAUUUAUAAGAAUAGACUUUACUGCCACACAGUUCUGAAGCUAUGAAGCCCAAGAUCAAGGCGCUGGGAGUUUUGGUGUCUGGUGGCUGUUUUCUGGUUCCAAGAUGGCACCCUGGUCCUGUGUGGCACAUUAGGACAGAAUUUGGAAAGACAACAGGCCUAUUCCCUCUAGCCUUUUCAUAAGACAUUAGUCUCCUUUGUGGGGACCAAGUCUCCAUGGCCUAAUCACCUCCUUAAGGCCCUACCUUUUAAUACUGUUGCCGUGGCGAUUAAGGUUCCACAAGCAUUUUGGAGAGGAUGUGAACAUUCAAACUGCAGCCCUAGGUCACGAUGGCAAAGACCUCUUGAAUAGAAUUAGAGCCCUCACAAGGGACUGGGAAAACCAAAUUUCUCUCCUGCCACAUGAGGAUCUAUAGAGAGGAAGCAGGCUCCAUCAGAAAGCAUGCCCUCACCAGUCACUGAAUCUGCCAGCAUCUUGGUCUUGGACUUCCCAGUCUCCAGAACAGUGAGAAAUUUCUGCUGUUCAUGAGUCACCAGUGUGUGGUAGCUUGUUUAUGGAAGCUGAAUGGACAAAGGCAGGUCCUGAUGUCCAAUAAUCUCGUCAGUCACUGGGAUACUGGGUGUAGGAAAAUUAUCCCUCCGUAUUUCUGAUGACUGCCUCCUUCACGCAGUUCAAGCAAGCAGGUGUACACUAGACCUCAGUCAUUGUGUCCUUUAGCUUCAGAAGGGAGAUGAUAUUAUUUCCUAGAAAAUCCUGCAAGAUAUACAUGACCGUAUGACCAAUGUGAUUCUGCAACCUGUAUAAUCAUAAAAAUAAGAAAUUAUACCCCAUUUGAUUCAAGUGUAUGAUAUGUCAAGAUCAUUGUACUGUCAUGUGUAACUAAUAAAAAAAUAAAAUAAAUAAAAAUAAAAUAAAAUCAUGCAAGAAUAAGA
ensembl:lincRNA